rnacentral:rRNA from 1 species
CACGGGGGGGAGCAAGCGUUGUUCGGAAUCACUGGGCGUAAAGGGCGUGUAGGCGGUCAGGUAAGUGGGACGUGAAAUGCCUCGGCUCACCCGAGGAGCGGCGUCCCAUACUGCUUGGCUUGAGUACGGGAGAGGAUGUGGGAAUUCCUGGUGUAGCGGUGAAAUGCGUAGAUAUCAGGAGGAACACCGGUGGCGAAGGCGCACAUCUGGCCCGAUACUGACGCUGAGGCGCGAAAGCUAGGGGAGCAAACGGG